GGAAAGUUAACGACAGGAGCAGCUGACGUGAUGAAGACGAUGUGAGGUCAGGAGUCAGGAUAACUCCAUCUCUUGAGAUGACAUCAGGAGCCCCUGUCCUUCUGCUGAGUGUUCCCAUCAGGAGCCCGGCACGCUGAUCAGAAAAUAUACUAUGGUUAAUAAGAAGAUGGACAUAACAGCAUGAUGAAGACCCUCUGGAGAAUUCCCUCUGCUGGGCCAAGUUCCAAAAAUGUAGAGACAGACCCUCUGUAAGUUUACUGUAUUAUCCUACUUUUAUUAACUUUCAUAACUAAACAUAUGCACAUUAUAAUCACACCUGUUGUUGUGCAUAUUGUUUCUUUCAGAACAUGCUGUGGUUGAGUUUAAAGACUGACCCUCUGUAAGUGCAUAGAUUUCUCCAAUCAAGUGUUUACCUUUCAUGUUCAAAUC